rnacentral:lncRNA from 1 species
AUGAUCCGUCACUUUCAAUCAGUGCAGAUGACCUUGGGUUUUCUUCUAUGCAUGUAACAUGCCAUUUAGCACCAACUUGGUUGACAUGAUUGAUAAAAGGUUUCAAAUUGCCAUGAAAAUUAAUCAGAAUUAUUUUAUCUUUUAUUUUUCUCAAUUUCGAGUGCUGACUUCAUAUAAAGACAAUAAAUGUUUCAAAACACAUUGCCUUUGCAAGUCAUCAAACAUAACUUUUCACCAAAAGAUUUAUGUAGAUGAUUUAUUUCCUUACCAAUUCACUCUAAAUGCUGGCUUGUAAUAUGGCUGUAGUUUGAUAAUGAUCACUGGGUCAAGAGUUCUUCAACCGCAAAUAAAACCUCAUUAUCACAUUCACUGUCCUUCGUCAAGCCAAUUUCAGUCGCAUUCGCGCUUUGAUUUUUUUACUAAUGCUUUUAAUUCUGAACAACCAUUAUUACGUAUGUGAAUCAUUUUAUGCAUAUAAAUGAGUCCUAUUUUAUUGGAUUUAUAAUAAUUAUAAAAGUGCACUAUAACAUUGAAUAGUUCAUGAUUGUCUAUGAAAUCAGUAUAAUGUUGGUUGCUCAAAGCAUCUUUGCUUGUACUUGGAUUAAUAAAAUUUAGGUAAGGCUGCCAUUUGCCCUGCAUUUUGGGUUCUGGGUAGUAGUUCUCGAUAACUUGACAGCUCUGGGAUUAGAGUGAGAGCCAAUGCAUCGUUUUUCUCUGCAAAAUACAGGAAAUCCGUUUCCUGGCACUGAAUGUAACCACAGACAGCCACACGCUCGCAUAUAUAGAGAUGUGUAAAAACUUGCAUUGCAGGUGAUGCUGAGUGAAAUUUCGCAGAUUGAGAAUUUGCCUAAUUAAAACUUUCAAAACGGUUUAACUGAAAAGUGCCGGCCACUCAAGAGAUUUUUAAAAAUGUUACAGAGAACAGUUUUUGUAUCUGUUAAAUGCACUGAGUGAUCCAUGCUGGGUUAUGGACUCCACUACACUGCUGUCUGUGGUGGGCGGGGCUCUCCUCCUGUCAAUCAUCCUUGUAACCAGUCUUUGUACAUACUGCUGGGGACAUAGACAACCAACAUCCAUCCAUCAGAGGUCCAGUGACUCAGAAUACCCCCCAACAUCAGGUUUUGUGGUUCGGCAUCCCGUGUCGACAUAUGCGCCCCAUAUGGACCAUACCAGAAUUGUACCUUACCAACAUUCCAAUUCUCUUGGUUCACCAUCUAUCACUGUCACAAAGGUGCACUCCUGUCCUCCCUCAGAAACUGGAAGUCAAGCCAGUUAUGUGAAUCAAAACGGUGAGGAGGGAAUCAACAUUCAUGACAAUCAUCAUGGUCAGAAAUCAAAUGGCUCAUUUUUGUAUCAUAAUUCUGAGUAG